ensembl:lncRNA
UUGUUUGCCAAAUGCUGCAGGGAAGCGUGCUCACCUGUUCCUAUGCUCUUUCCCUGCAUCUUCCUGUGGCUGAGUUGGAAAUGGAAUUGGGCUGGAUGGACCUUGAUUUGGCAUGUUUCAACCACUCUGGCAUGCCCAAGAACAAUGUGCAUAUUCAGACCCCUCUUGUCCAUGCUAAUUCCAGUACAUCUUCUCCGGUGCCGGGAUCUUCACUGUUCUAAGGGGUUGUCUAAUGUCCAUCCUGGACACAUCUGGAUCUGCUCUUUCUACUCAUUCCCCUGGUUCCACAGUCUUGAGAAGCUUUAGGAACAUUUCCAGUAUGGUGUACUCUGAAGAGGGCCUCCAGGACACCUCUGGACAACCCUAAACAAAGCUGUGUUCCCAACUUCAGCCCCUUCGGAGAGACCAGCCAGGAAAACUGAUUCCCUGUGUUGCAGACAGGUGACUGCAACACAUGUACAUCGAGCACAAAAGAAACACUGAAAAUAAGGACAUGUUCAACUGCAGCAUCAAUGCUUGUGAGGCUUGGCUUGCUUCUUCCAGGUGGGGAGGAGGCAUCCUGUAUCUGCCGAGGGUAAUGGAGCUCUUCUGGAUUCAGAAGAACAGAAUCACAGACGCAUAGGAGUUGGAAUGGGCCUCUUCAGAAUCCAACCCACCAGUAAAGCAGUUUCCCUACAGCAGGUCACGCAGGAUACCUAAGUGUCCAGCCUAACAGUCCUUCACGCGGGACAGUUUGUGCGAGUAUAAAUCAACGGGCAGUUUGGGAGAACUGAUGCUCUCUCUAGUUGGCCAUUUUGAUACUUUUGAAAUGAAGCAUAGUGACUUGGAAGGGUUCAUCCCUGAACUGUGUGUGUCUGCAUAUAUAAAAAUGCCAUGGAAAAUGAGAUACGAGCAGUUGGUCCCCUCAUGAGCUCUUGUUGAAAAUUAUCCCAUCCACGCUUCUUUAAACUCUGACAUCGAAUGACCUGAUCCAAAAGCCUCAUUGGGACAAUUCAGAGGGAUUUCACUGAGC